rnacentral:lncRNA from 1 species
CAAGUAAACCUCAUCUUAAACUCCUUGGCUUGUUUCUGCUCACCCUACCUCCAUCUUUGCGUUCACUUUCGAAUUUCGAUCGAAACGUCUCUUGUUUCGCCUCGAUUGAAGUUACCAUUGAGACUUUACGAUAUAAAAAAAAACCGCAAAGACCUAUUUUCUCGCAUGGAUUCAGAUUAAUCGUAUAAAACGGCAAUGGUUAACUUAACACCUUAGCCGCCUUAACUAUACGAUUACGUUGAACUUUUUUACAAAAAUCGACGUCUUAUCUAAGGAGAAGAUAACAGUCAAGUUCGGAAGAUAAAUGUCAAGUUUCAAAGGAUAAACACCAAUAUCGGAAAUGGCGAACAUACACGAGAAUAGGAAACGGAAAUGAGCACGCAAAAC